rnacentral:tRNA from 1 species
GGGAAGAUGGCUUAGUGGUGGAGCACUUGCCUUGUAUGCAUGAGUCCCUAGGUUCAAUUCCCCAGUACCA